rnacentral:lncRNA from 1 species
UGGAUAGCCAACCUCGUUACAUGAUAUCUCAAAGGCACAUGCCACCCGGGUAAGUACUCUUGCUUUGGGGUCCUUGCUGUUGCUGUUGCAGUCACCCUGUCACCUGUUUAAAGCAUUGCCUUUUGGAUACAGCCUCUCUGCUGCCAAGUGAUAUGCAUGCAAAGAAGGUACCUGAGAGUGAAAUAGACCCUGCAUUACACUGUGCAAGAAAAACAACCAACAACCAACCAACCAAGCAAACAAAAACAAUUCUGGCCAAAGUCUUAGCAUGAAUACUAGGCUCCAUUAAAGGAUUACUAACAAAUACUACAAAGAAAAUGGAAUGGAUUAGGAAAUGAAAUGACCCAAAUCAGUGUUAGCUUGGAUAUCUACUUAUGAAAAGUGCAACUGUUCCCGCUUUCCUGAAAUACCCCGGGUAGUUAUUAAAUCCUGCUCACAUGCUGGAUUUGAAGAUUUUAGUCUCAUUAAUUGUAGCAAGAGGUUGCUAAUUACUCAUGCUUAAUGCCUUCCUGUAUAUCAUCCACUGAGCUGUGUGUACAAUGCUGAAGUGUAGAGGACUUGAUGUUGCUCCUCAAGCUUUAACCUGUUUGUCACAGUGUUUCUUGUGUGUGAUUUUAAAGAGUUUGCAAAAUGUUAAAACGUAUUUUACCGAAUUCGACUCUGUGAAAUUCAUUUUGAACGUGUCUGAUUUCUUACUUCCAUGCUCACCCUAUUUAGUGAUCUAUUUCCACAUUUUGCAUUCACUGAUGUAUUUAUUAGUGAACCACAAAAAGGUUCUGAGUACAUGAAUACAAGAGCAGCCCUGCUUGUCCAUUUUAUAAUACCAAAAUAUCUGUGGGUACUCAUAGUUGACUAGAAAAUCCAGAUUCUUUUUCUUGCAGCUCAAAAUUUUCUGGGUUUUUAUUCCAUUGAACCAAUUUCAUCAUUUACCUAUGUACAAUAAUAGACUUCUUGAAAGUGUUACAGUUUUUGCCAUGUAAUAGAUUUGAGCAUGACAAUACUGUAAGAAAACCCAGACGUCUGAGUUUUCAAAGGAAAUCAAAUAGGUGUUUUCAUUUAACUAUAUUGUGGCAAUUUAUGGGUAUUAUUGUAAAAUGCAUAUGCAUUACACUGAUUUUCUUAAUGUGUUUUGAAUUAAUAAAGAAUUCUCCCAUGU